GACGAACGCUGGCGGCGCGCCUAACACAUGCAAGUCGAACGAGCGAGAGAGAGCUUGCUUUCUCAAGCGAGUGGCGAACGGGUGAGUAACGCGUGAGGAACCUGCCUCAAAGAGGGGGACAACAGUUGGAAACGACUGCUAAUACCGCAUAAGCCCACAGGUCGGCAUCGACCAGAGGGAAAAGGAGCAAUCCGCUUUGAGAUGGCCUCGCGUCCGAUUAGCUAGUUGGUGAGGUAACGGCCCACCAAGGCAACGAUCGGUAGCCGGACUGAGAGGUUGAACGGCCACAUUGGGACUGAGACACGGCCCAGACUCCUACGGGAGGCAGCAGUGGGGAAUAUUGCACAAUGGGGGAAACCCUGAUGCAGCGACGCCGCGUGGAGGAAGAAGGUCUUCGGAUUGUAAACUCCUGUUGUGGAGGAAGAUAAUGACGGUACUCAACAAGGAAGUGGCGGCUAACUACGUG
rnacentral:rRNA from 1 species